CCUACGGGAGGCAGCAGUGGGGAAUAUUGGACAAUGGGGGGAACCCUGAUCCAGCCAUGCCGCGUGUGUGAAGAAGGCCCUCGGGUUGUAAAGCACUUUCAGUGAGGAAGAACGCCUGGUGGUUAAUACCCAUCAGGAAAGACAUCACUCACAGAAGAAGCACCGGCUAACUCCGUGCCAGCAGCCGCGGUAAUACGGAGGGUGCGAGCGUUAAUCGGAAUUACUGGGCGUAAAGGGCGCGUAGGUGGCUUGAUAAGCCGGUUGUGAAAGCCCCGGGCUCAACCUGGGAACGGCAUCCGGAACUGUCAAGCUAGAGUGCAGGAGAGGAAGGUAGAAUUCCCGGUGUAGCGGUGAAAUGCGUAGAGAUCGGGAGGAAUACCAGUGGCGAAGGCGGCCUUCUGGACUGACACUGACACUGAGGUGCGAAAGCGUGGGUAGCAAACAGGAUUAGAUACCCUGGUAGUC
rnacentral:rRNA from 1 species